rnacentral:rRNA from 1 species
GACGAACGCUGGCGGCGUGCUUAACACAUGCAAGUCGAACGGUGAUGCUCCAGCUUGCUGGAGUGGAUCAGUGGCGAACGGGUGAGUAACACGUGAGCAACCUGCCCCAGACUCUGGAAUAAGCGCUGGAAACGGCGUCUAAUACUGGAUACGAAACUGGCCCGCAUGGGCAUGGUUUGGAAAGUUUUUCGGUUUGGGAUGGGCUCGCGGCCUAUCAGCUUGUUGGUGAGGUAAUGGCUUACCAAGGCGACGACGGGUAGCCGGCCUGAGAGGGUGACCGGCCACACUGGGACUGAGACACGGCCCAGACUCCUACGGGAGGCAGCAGUGGGGAAUAUUGCACAAUGGGCGGAAGCCUGAUGCAGCGACGCCGCGUGAGGGAUGACGGCCUUCGGGUUGUAAACCUCUUUCAGCAGGGAAGAAGCGAAAGUGACGGUACCUGCAGAAGAAGCACCGGCUAACUACGUG